AGUGAACGCUGGCGGUAGGCCUAACACAUGCAAGUCGAACGGCAGCACAGUAAGAGCUUGCUCUUACGGGUGGCGAGUGGCGGACGGGUGAGGAAUACAUCGGAAUCUACUUUUUCGUGGGGGAUAACGUAGGGAAACUUACGCUAAUACCGCAUACGACCUACGGGUGAAAGCAGGGGAUCUUCGGACCUUGCGCGAUUGAAUGAGCCGAUGUCGGAUUAGCUAGUUGGCGGGGUAAAGGCCCACCAAGGCGACGAUCCGUAGCUGGUCUGAGAGGAUGAUCGGCCACACUGGAACUGAGACACGGUCCAGACUCCUACGGGAGGCAGCAGUGGGGAAUAUUGGACAAUGGGCGCAAGCCUGAUCCAGCCAUACCGCUUGGGUGAAGAAGGCCUUCGGGUUGUAAAGCCCUUUUGUUGGGAAAGAAAAGCAGCAGGUUAAUACCCCGCUGUUCUGACGGUACCCAAAGAAUAAGCACCGGCUAACUUCGUG
rnacentral:rRNA from 1 species